GACGAACGCUGGCGGCGUGCUUAACACAUGCAAGUCGAACGGAAAGGCCCUGCUUUUGUGGGGUGCUCGAGUGGCGAACGGGUGAGUAACACGUGAGUAACCUGCCCUUGACUUUGGGAUAACUUCAGGAAACUGGGGCUAAUACCGGAUAGGAGCUCCUGCUGCAUGGUGGGGGUUGGAAAGUUUCGGCGGUUGGGGAUGGGCUCGCGGCUUAUCAGCUUGUUGGUGGGGUAGUGGCUUACCAAGGCUUUGACGGGUAGCCGGCCUGAGAGGGUGACCGGCCACAUUGGGACUGAGAUACGGCCCAGACUCCUACGGGAGGCAGCAGUGGGGAAUAUUGCACAAUGGGCGAAAGCCUGAUGCAGCAACGCCGCGUGCGGGAUGACGGCCUUCGGGUUGUAAACCGCUUUCGCCUGUGACGAAGCGUGAGUGACGGUAAUGGGUAAAGAAGCACCGGCUAACUACGUG
rnacentral:rRNA from 1 species